GAUGAACGCUGGCGGCGUGCCUAAUACAUGCAAGUCGAGCGAAUGGAUUAAGAGCUUGCUCUUAUGAAGUUAGCGGCGGACGGGUGAGUAACACGUGGGUAACCUGCCCAUAAGACUGGGAUAACUCCGGGAAACCGGGGCUAAUACCGGAUAACAUUUUGAAUCGCAUGGUUCGAAAUUGAAAGGCGGCUUCGGCUGUCACUUAUGGAUGGACCCGGGUCGCAUUAGCUAGUUGGUGAGGUAACGGCUCACCAAGGCAACGAUGCGUAGCCGACCUGAGAGGGUGAUCGGCCACACUGGGACUGAGACACGGCCCAGACUCCUACGGGAGGCAGCAGUAGGGAAUCUUCCGCAAUGGACGAAAGUCUGACGGAGCAACGCCGCGUGAGUGAUGAAGGCUUUCGGGUCGUAAAACUCUGUUGUUAGGGAAGAACAAGUGCUAGUUGAAUAAGCUGGCACCUUGACGGUACCUGACCAGAAAGCCACGGCUAACUACGUGCCAGCAGCCGCCGUAA
rnacentral:rRNA from 1 species